rnacentral:rRNA from 1 species
UACGGAGGGCGCAAGCGUUGUUCGGAAUUACUGGGCGUAAAGCGCGUGUAGGCGGUUCGGUAAGACGGGUGUGAAAGCCCGGAGCUCAACUCCGGAAUUGCAUUAGAAACUGCCGGGCUAGAGUCUCGGAGGGGAGGGCAGAAUCCCCAGUGUAGGGGUGAAAUCCGUAGAUAUUGGGAGGAAUACCAGCGGCGAAGGCGGCCCUCUGGACGAUGACUGACGCUCAGACGCGAAAGCGUGGGGAGCAAACAGG